UACAGAGGGGGCAAGCGUUAUUCGGAAUUAUUGGGCGUAAAGGGCGCGUAGGCGGCCUGGCAAGUGGAAGGUGAAAUCCCUCGGCUUAACCGAGGAACUGCCCUCCAAACUGCUUGGCUUGAGUCCGGGAGAGGUGAGUGGAAUUCCCCAGUGUAGCGGUGAAAUGCGCAGAUAUCAGGAGGAACACCAAUUGCGAAGGCAGCUCGCUGGGACGUUACUGACGCUGAGACGCGAAAGCGUGGGGAGCGAACAGG
rnacentral:rRNA from 1 species